GACGAACGCUGGCGGCGUGCUUAACACAUGCAAGUCGAACGAUGAAGAAAAGACUUGAAGCUUCGGCAGAAAUUCAUUUCGGAUUAGUUGCAGACGGGUGAGUAACGCGUGAGCAACCUACCUCUUACAAAGGGAUAGCCUCGGGAAACCGGGAUUAAUACCAUAUCACAUUGCGACGAAGCAUUUCGAUGCAAUCAAAGCUACGGCGGUAAGAGAUGGGCGCGCGUCCCAUUAACCAGAUGGUGAGGUAACGGCUCACCAUAGCAACGAUGGGUAACCGGCAUGAGAGGGAGAACCGACACACUGGAACUGAGACACGGUCCAGACUCCUACGGGAGGCAGCAGAGGGGAAUAUUGCACAACGGAGGGAACUAUGAAGCAGCGCCGCUGGGAAAGUGAUGAAGGAAGUCGAUUCGUAAAACGCUGUUAUAUGGGAAGAAAAGGACUGUACCUUAGGAGAAAGCGCCGGCUAAAUACGUG
rnacentral:rRNA from 1 species